rnacentral:rRNA from 1 species
UACGUAGGGGGCUAGCGUUGUCCGGAAUCAUUGGGCGUAAAGCGCGCGUAGGCGGCCAGAUAAGUCCGGUGUGAAAGUCACAGGCUCAACCUGUGAAUGCCGCUGGAAACUGUCUGGCUAGAGUCCGGAAGGGGCGAGUGGAAUUCCUGGUGUAGCGGUGAAAUGCGCAGAUAUCAGGAGGAACACCAAUGGCGAAGGCAGCUCGCUGGAACGGUACUGACGCUGAGGCGCGAAAAGCGUGGGGGAGCGAACAGG